rnacentral:rRNA from 1 species
CUUGCUCUUCCUGAUCAGUGGCGAACGGGUGAGUAACACGUGAGUAACCUGCCCUUGACUCUGGGAUAACUUCGGGAAACCGUGGCUAAUACCGGAUAUGAGAUGCGACCGCAUGGUCUGUGUCUGGAAAGUUUUUCGGUCAAGGAUGGACUCGCGGCCUAUCAGCUUGUUGGUGAGGUAAUGGCUCACCAAGGCGUCGACGGGUAGCCGGCCUGAGAGGGCGACCGGCCACACUGGGACUGAGACACGGCCCAGACUCCUACGGGAGGCAGCAGUGGGGAAUAUUGCACAAUGGGCGAAAGCCUGAUGCAGCGACGCCGCGUGAGGGAUGAAGGCCUUCGGGUUGUAAACCUCUUUCAGUAGGGAAGAAGCGAAAGUGACGGUACCUGCAGAAGAAGCACCGGCUAACUACGUGCCAGCAGCCGCGGUAAUACGUAGGGUGCAAGCGUUGUCCGGAAUUAUUGGGCGUAAAGAGCUCGUAGGCGGUUUGUCGCGUCUGGUGUGAAAACUCAAGGCUCAACCUUGAGCUUGCAUCGGGUACGGGCAGACUAGAGUGUGGUAGGGGUGACUGGAAUUCCUGGUGUAGCGGUGGAAUGCGCAGAUAUCAGGAGGAACACCGAUGGCGAAGGCA